CCGCCCGGGCCGCCCUCGGCGCCGCCUGAGCCGCGGUGCGGGCUGCUCGGGCCCCGGGUCCACGGAAGCCUGGGUCGGGGGCUGCGUGCGGGACUCUCGUCGUGAGUGGACGCUGCGCGAGCGCGCAGGGGACGUAAGGCGCCGACCUGGGGCUCCCCGGCGCUCCGGCUCCGCUCAGGGCGCCCGCUCAGGGGCCUCCGGCGCGAGGCGCCCUUCGUGGUCAAGAUGGCGGAGCCCAGGCGGGCCGCACUGAGGUGAGCUGGAGCUGGGCCCGGAGAGGGGUCAGUCAGCCACGCCCAGGACUUGGACCCCGGGCUGGUCUCCCGUCUCCCGGGGAGCGGCGGGUGGGGAAAAUGUACCAGCGUGUAUGCCUACUGGGACCACGUUUUCCAGAACAGUUAAGCCCAGUGUCAACUAUGCUGUCCCACCUUCCUCAUUUCUGUGUGUGUGUGUCCCCAUGAUGAAAACAUCAUUAAAGUAAAAUAUCAUGAAUAGACUCUUAAGAAGCAGAGUCUACUUAAAGUCCUGGAAAAUAUGAAAGCACUAAUAUUCAUGGACAACUCUACACUCUGAAAGUUACUCCAAAUUUUGUUGAUCUCUCUUUUGUCUAGGAGUUUUUCAAAUUUUCUACCAUGAUCAUUUGUUAGUUUUAUAAUUACAUAAUAAAGGCAUUACAUCAUACAA